GACGAACGCUGGCGGCGUGCCUAAUACAUGCAAGUCGAACGAACUCUGGUAUUGAUUGGUGCUUGCAUCAUGAUUUACAUUUGAGUGAGUGGCGAACUGGUGAGUAACACGUGGGAAACCUGCCCAGAAGCGGGGGAUAACACCUGGAAACAGAUGCUAAUACCGCAUAACAACUUGGACCGCAUGGUCCGAGUUUGAAAGAUGGCUUCGGCUAUCACUUUUGGAUGGUCCCGCGGCGUAUUAGCUAGAUGGUGGGGUAACGGCUCACCAUGGCAAUGAUACGUAGCCGACCUGAGAGGGUAAUCGGCCACAUUGGGACUGAGACACGGCCCAAACUCCUACGGGAGGCAGCAGUAGGGAAUCUUCCACAAUGGACGAAAGUCUGAUGGAGCAACGCCGCGUGAGUGAAGAAGGGUUUCGGCUCGUAAAACUCUGUUGUUAAAGAAGAACAUGUCUGAGAGUAACUGUUCAGGUAUUGACGGUAUUUAACCAGAAAGCCACGGCUAACUACGUGCCAGCAGCCGCGGUAAUACGUAGGUGGCAAGCGUUGUCCGGAUUUAUUGGGCGUAAAGCGAGCGCAGGCGGUUUUUUAAGUCUGAUGUGAAAGCCUUCGGCUCAACCGAAGAAGUGCAUCGGAAACUGGGAAACUUGAGUGCAGAAGAGGACAGUGGAACUCCAUGUGUAGCGGUGAAAUGCGUAGAUAUAUGGAAGAACACCAGUGGCGAAGGCGGCUGUCUGGUCUGUAACUGACGCUGAGGCUCGAAAGUAUGGGUAGCAAACAGGAUUAGAUACCCUGGUAGUCCAUACCGUAAACGAUGAAUGCUAAGUGUUGGAGGGUUUCCGCCCUUCAGUGCUGCAGCUAACGCAUUAAGCAUUCCGCCUGGGGAGUACGGCCGCAAGGCUGAAACUCAAAGGAAUUGACGGGGGCCCGCACAAGCGGUGGAGCAUGUGGUUUAAUUCGAAGCUACGCGAAGAACCUUACCAGGUCUUGACAUACUAUGCAAAUCUAAGAGAUUAGACGUUCCCUUCGGGGACAUGGAUACAGGUGGUGCAUGGUUGUCGUCAGCUCGUGUCGUGAGAUGUUGGGUUAAGUCCCGCAACGAGCGCAACCCUUAUUAUCAGUUGCCAGCAUUAAGUUGGGCACUCUGGUGAGACUGCCGGUGACAAACCGGAGGAAGGUGGGGAUGACGUCAAAUCAUCAUGCCCCUUAUGACCUGGGCUACACACGUGCUACAAUGGAUGGUACAACGAGUUGCGAACUCGCGAGAGUAAGCUAAUCUCUUAAAGCCAUUCUCAGUUCGGAUUGUAGGCUGCAACUCGCCUACAUGAAGUCGGAAUCGCUAGUAAUCGCGGAUCAGCAUGCCGCGGUGAAUACGUUCCCGGGCCUUGUACACACCGCCCGUCACACCAUGAGAGUUUGUAACACCCAAAGUCGGUGGGGUAACCUUUUAGGAACCAGCCGCCUAAGGUGGGACAGAUGAUUAGGGUG
rnacentral:rRNA from 1 species